GUAGGUGAACCUGCGGAAGGAUCAUUAACUAUUCAUGAAAGUGCAGGGUGUGCAACUCCUAGGAGAAACACUCCCUGUAUCCCUCAUUGAAAUCUCCCCUGUGCAUAUGACUUUUGUUGCUUCCCGCAACGCGGACCCUAGAGCGCAACUGCUUUAGAGUUAACGUGCGGGGAGGAGAUCAUAAACUCUGAUUGCUGUGGUCCUAGUCUGAGUGGUUAUCACAUUAAACAAGUUAAAACUUUCAACAACGGAUCUCUUGGUUCUC
rnacentral:misc_RNA from 1 species